UACGUAGGGUGCGAGCGUUGUCCGGAAUUAUUGGGCGUAAAGGGCUCGUAGGCGGUUUGUCGCGUCUGCUGUGAAAACGCGAGGCUCAACCUCGCGCCUGCAGUGGGUACGGGCAGACUAGAGUGCGGUAGGGGAGACUGGAAUUCCUGGUGUAGCGGUGAAAUGCGCAGAUAUCAGGAGGAACACCGAUGGCGAAGGCAGGUCUCUGGGCCACUACUGACGCUGAGAAGCGAAAGCAUGGGGAGCGAACAGG
rnacentral:rRNA from 1 species